CCUCCUUUCUAAGGAUGAAUGAAAGUAAAAUUUCAUUCUAAAUAAUAUACAUCGGUAAUGUUGACCGUCCUCAUUUCUCUUCUUAAAGUAAUGUUUCCUUCUGUAGGGCCGGUAGCUCAGUUGGUUAGAGCACACCCUUGAUAAGGGUGGGGUCGAAAGUUCGAGUCUUUCUCGGCCCACCAAACUUAAAUGGGGGAUUAGCUCAUCUGGGAGGGCGCCUGAUUUGCAUUCAGGAGGUAGCAGGUUCGAUCCCUGUAUCCUCCACCAGGAAACGUUUAGUUAUUAAAACUGUAAAUAUAAAUAAUUUAUAUCAAUAUCUAUAUCCGAACAUUAAAAGUUAUUAUUUAAUGUUCAAAAUAAAAAUUUGAUCACAACACAGAAAGAAAUUUUUUCUGUGCAUAAAUCAAC
rnacentral:tRNA from 1 species